rnacentral:tRNA from 1 species
UGCAAGUGUAGCUCAGUGGUAGAGCACUUGCCUAUCAUAAACACUGCCCUGGGAUCAAUCCCCAACACUGUAA